rnacentral:rRNA from 1 species
GACGAACGCUGGCGGCGUGCUUAACACAUGCAAGUCGAACGGAAAGGCCCUGCUUUUGUGGGGUGCUCGAGUGGCGAACGGGUGAGUAACACGUGAGUAACCUGCCCUUGACUUUGGGAUAACUUCAGGAAACUGGGGCUAAUACCGGAUAGGAGCUCCUGCUGCACGGUGGGGGUUGGAAAAUUUCGGCGUUUGGGGAUGGUCUCGCUGCUUCUCCGCUUGUUUGUGUGGUAGUGGCUUACCCAGGCUUUGACGGGUAGCCGGCCUGGGAGCGUUACCGGCCACAUGGGGACUGAGAUACGGCCCAGCCUCCUACGGGAGGCAGCGGUGGGGAAUAUUGCAGAAUGGGCGGAAGCCUGAUGCAGCAACGCCGCGUGCGGGAUGACGGCCUUCGGGUUGUAAACCGCUUUCGCCUGUGACGAAGCGUGAGUGACGGUAAUGGGUAAAGAAGCACCGGCUAACUACGUG